rnacentral:rRNA from 1 species
GGAGGCUUGGAAGUGUGGACGCCAGUCUGCAUGGAGCCGACCUUGAAAUACCACCCUUUAAUGUUUGAUGUUCUAACGUUGACCCGUAAUCCGGGUUGCGGACAGUGUCUGGUGGGUAGUUUGACUGGGGCGGUCUCCUCCUAAAGAGUAACGGAGGAGCACGAAGGUUGGCUAAUCCUGGUCGGACAUCAGGAGGUUAGUGCAAUGGCAUAAGCCAGCUUGACUGCGAGCGUGACGGCGCGAGCAGGUGCGAAAGCAGGUCAUAGUGAUCCGGUGGUUCUGAAUGGAAGGGCCAUCGCUCAACGGAUAAAAGGUACUCCGGGGAUAACAGGCUGAUACCGCCCAAGAGUUCAUAUCGACGGCGGUGUUUGGCACCUCGAUGUCGGCUCAUCACAUCCUGGGGCUGAAGUAGGUCCCAAGGGUAUGGCUGUUCGCCAUUUAAAGUGGUACGCGAGCUGGGUUUAGAACGUCGUGAGACAGUUCGGUCCCUAUCUGCCGUGGGCGCUGGAGAACUGAGGGGGGCUGCUCCUAGUACGAGAGGACCGGAGUGGACGCAUCACUGGUGUUCGGGUUGUCAUGCCAAUGGCACUGCCCGGUAGCUAAAUGCGGAAGAGAUAAGUGCUGAAAGCAUCUAAGCACGAAACUUGCC